rnacentral:lncRNA from 1 species
GCCUUCAUUCUGACUGCCCUGGAGGCAAAGCCAGCCAAUGCCCUUCUCCUGCUUUCCCGGGUCACCACCUGGGCUCUCCUGAAGGGAUUCUGCUGAUAAUCAAGGUGAAUGAGCAAACAGCACAGAAAAAGAAACAGCAGUAUAUGUGGAAGAAAGCAAGAAAAAUCAACUGGCCUGGAACCUAAGACUUGUCCAAAGAUGUCACAGAGAGUAAAAUGAGAAAAAUCCAGUAGCCCGUGCCCAGAGCAGUUCCUCGUACCCAGCAGAAGGCUAACAAGCCCUGAGAUGAAUGAUGCUCUUCCCAAGGAAGGCAGAGGAGGCGACAGUCCAUUUGCGUUCUCUCCUCUGCAAGUACAGGAUCUCGUUUGAUUCUCAAAACCACCCUAGAGGAGACAGGAGGCACCUGAGGCCCAGAGACGUGAAGCCACCUGUCCAAGGCCAUACAGCAGAUAACUUAUUCUGGAGGAAGACACCUGCCAUGCCGUGAGGACAGUCAAGCAGUUCUGUGGAGAGAUCCAUGUGGUGAGAAACAGGGGCCUCCUGUCAACAGGAAGAACAACCUGGCAGGCCUGUCUUGGAUUCAGAGCCUCCAGCCCCAGUCGAGCCUUCAGAUAACUGCACCCUUGGCUGUCAUCUCAACUGCAAUCUCACGACAGACCCUGAGCUGGAACUACUCUGUUUACCAAUGCCUGGCCCACAGAAAGACUAUGAGAUAAAACAAGUAUAUUGUUUUUAGAAGAUAUGUUUUGGAGUAAUUUAUUAUGCUACAAUAGAUAAUACAGAAUUUGGUGAUUUUAUGAUUCUCAACUCCUGGCCAAAGCAAAGCACACAACAAGUCUCAAAGAAAAGUCUCACAAGUGGAAUUGAAAGUACAAAGCUGGCCAGACAAGCUUGUGCAGACAUGUAUGUGGUGGAGUUGAAAAUCACACACUACGACUCACACAAGUGAGUAAAACCUGCGUCUUUCUUAAUUUUUCUUGUACUCUUCUCAUCUAGAUCUAAUGAGAUACUUCCUGCUGUUGACAGGCAAUAAAUGAAUGAACGACAAAAACAAAACAAAAAGAAAAGAAACAAAACAGAAAGAAAAGAAACAAAACAGAAAGAAAAGAAAGAAACAAAACAGAAAGAAAGAAAAGAAAUCUUUAACUUGCCCACUACAGGUUUCUCUAUUUCUGCAUGUUCAAGCAAAUCUCCUUUCAGCAAAAUACUCAUCGUUUUCUCCCUAUUCCCUCUUCUGCUAGCCAGAUGUCUCUCUUCCUGGUGCAGGGAGACAUUUACAGACCUCAUGGUGGUGGGAAGAGGAGUUCAAGGUCGGUGUGGAGUUCUCUGCAUUCUUCCCACAUACCUUCCCCACACACAAUGGGACAGGGCUGGUCGGGCCUGGUCCCUGGGAUCCCUGGUGGCAUUGGUGAUGGUUGGGGAUGGAGAGGGGUACUGAUGAAGUGAGUGGUCCCCGCACAAGGCUGGUGGUGCAGAUCCUACCUCUGUGUUCUUGAUUUCUCUUUUUUUUUUUUUUUCUUUGAGACAGAGUUUUGCUCUUUUUGCCCAGGCUGGAGUACAAUGGCGUGAUCUCAGCUCAUCACAACCUCCGCCUCCCGGGUUCAAGUGAUUCUCCUGCCUCAGCCUCCCAAGUAGCUGGGAUUACAGGCAUGUGCCACCAUGCCUGGCUAAUUUUGUAUUUUUAGUAGAGACGGGGCUUCUCCAUGUUGGUUAGGCUCGUCUCAAGCUCCCGACCUCAGGUGAUCCACCUGCCUCGGCCUCCCAAAGUUCUGGGAUUACAGGUGUGAGUCACCACACCUGGCCUGUGGCCUUGAUUUCUACCCUUUCCCUGGGACCUAGGACCGCCUGGCUGCAUUCUACCCCUCCAGAAGAGGCAGAGUUCCGAGAGCCACUUCCUAGACUGCUUCUUUAGACAUUUCUAAACUACCUCCUGGGCAGCGCCAUAAUGUGUUACACCUUCCUCAAUCACUGCUUUCUUAAAGGAGUUCACUGAAAUUCCCCACAGCUGUCAUCUGAGAGUCAAAUUCCACCUACCUUGUGCGGUGAAAUUUAGCUGCAAAUGUGGCUGGGGUGUCUCCCACACAGCCCUCUGAGUGUCCACUGGGGUGAGGGACAGAGCUUUUUGCUUCUCACCUUCUCUCUUCCUUGAGUCCUGCUGUUCAGUAGCUGUAUCUCUCCAUCCCGUCCUACCUCAUCCGUCCUGGAUGACUUGCUUCGAUUCAACCCUACACUUACUUCCCCGGGCAAUGAACGUCACCUUAGCCUUCACCCUGAAGGGCUACAGGAGAACGAGAAUUAUAGAAAGUGAAAAUACAUCCCUUUGCUAUUUUAUAAGUGCUAUUUCUAUAACACAUGCAUACCCGAAGCACACACACUUGCAUGCAGAGACCCAGAGACAAGCUGAUUCCAAGACCCCAAACACACUAGAGACACACCACAAACACCCUAGGGCUGAACUGGGGCCUGCUCAGGGAACCCUUGCCUGUGACUUCUCAGUAUCAUCCAAGGGGACCCACCUGCUCCUGGAGCCUCCAGGGGGAUCCCUUGUUUACUCUCAAGAUGAUUGUUCUCACCCCUUCUCUCAAAGGCCCUGGGAGUGAGGCAAAGAGGAGGGAGCGCCACCUCUAAUCAGAUCCUCCUCAGGAUAAAAAAAAAAUCAGCAACUGGAGAUGCCCCUGGCUGGUGGACUACUUCUUUUUUUUUUUUUUUUUUUGAGAUAGAUAGAUAGAGUCUUGCUCUGUUGCACAGGCUGGAGUGCAGUGGCGCAAUCUUGGCUCACUGCAAUCUCCACCUCCCGGGUUCAAGUGAUUAUCCUGCCUCAGCCUCCUGAGUAUCUGGGACUACAGGUGUACGCCACCACGCCCGGCUAAUUUUUGUAUUUCUAGUAGAAAUGGGUUUCACCGUGUUAGCCAGGAUGGUCUUGAAUUCCUGACCUUGUGAUCUGCCCACCUUGGCCUCCCUAAGUGCUGGGAUUAUAGGCAUGAGCCACUGCGCCCAGCUGGACUUCUAUAGCUUCUACUGCCUCCUGUCCCUGCAGGCUCUUAGAUGGGUAUCUGGGCUCAGUCUCCUUUGCUGAGCGCCAGACACCUUGGUCAGCUGCUCCAGGACUCUGUCUGAUUUCCCAAAGGCAUCUCCAAUGCAGCCAUCCCAAACUGACUCAUCCUCUUCCCCAGGACAGAGACAGGCCUCUCUCCAUCAAUCCCUCAUCCUCUGGCCCUCUAUUCUAACUACCCCUCCCUCUCUCUAACACUGCGAUGGGCAGGGGCUUAUCUUCUUCUUCCCACCUGGUCCUCCUGUUUCUACCUGCCUCCAACCCCCUCACGGCAACAGGGGGACUUAUCUUGAUUGGAAAGUGGGUCUCAUGGAUUUGCAGCCUCACGUUGAAAAACCUGUCACCAACUCCCCAGCGCCCACAGGAUCACACCCUUGGGCAGAGCAGUAAGCCCCAUCCUUCCCUGGCCUGGCCCAAGUGCCCCGCACCCAGCUGCAGCCGAGGUGAGCAUUGCAGGGUUCCCCUCCUGGGCCUGGCACCCUCUGGCUUCGGCCCCUGUCACACACAGGGUUGGAAUGCUGUAGCUCCUUGCAGUCCUGCUGAACUCAUUUUUCAAGAUCCUGCUUGAGUCACCUCCCUAGGGAAAGCAUCCUUAGUCAGAGUUUAUCAUUCCCUUCUCCAAGUUACCCUGGAACCAUAUUCAAGUUUCUCCCAAGGCAAUUCUCCCAUCCUCUGCCUGGCUGCAGCACCCUCACCUCUGGUCUGGACUGUCAAAGUCGCCUCCUGACUGCCCCUUGCCCUUGCCCCCUGCCCCUUCCAGUCGGCUGUGGACCCAACAGCCCAAAUGGUCCUUUGAAAAUGCCAGUCAAUACACAUCUCUCUGCUCACAACCCUCCAGCACCUCCCAUUUCACUCACGGUCAAAGCUAAAACUGCACAGUGGCCUCCGACUCCUCCCUCUCUGGUCCCCCUUCCCUUUGGACCUUCACUUCUACCCUCCAUUCUCUCUCCACCCCAGCUUGCACCAGCCUCCUUGAAGCCCUGAACACUGCAGGCCCCUCCUCUCUCUGGGCCUUGGCACGUCCCCAGACACCAUGCUCAUCUCCCUCGCCAGGGACUGUCUUUGCUGCAGUCUUGCCUUCUCAGGGAAGCCCACCCUCCCUGCCCUGGACACCACUGCAACCAGCCCCUACUUCCUGGCCCUCCUCCCCCUGCCCCACUUUUCUUUCUUUCCAUAGCAUGCGUCACCUUCUAAACAUAUUAUUUAACCAAUUUUUAAUUUUUUUUAUACUCCAUCUCCCUUGCAAAAAGUGUCAGCUUCACUAGGGCAGGGUCUUUACCUAUUCUGUUCACCGGUGGCUCCUAUGAGCCUAGCAGGGUGCUGGUACACAGUGUGCACUUAAUGUUCAAGCAAUCGAUCCAUCCACUAAAGCUGUUCAUUGGUUUUUGUGGGGGCUCCCUCGGCAGUUGGGGAGGUCCUGGAGACUGAGUUCAUGCUCAGUCACCUCUGGAUCCUCAGGGCUUAGCCACUGCCUUGGCCACAGUGGGUAUGCAAGAACCAUCUAUUGAAUAAAUAAAUGAAUGGGGCCUGCUCCAUUGGUCAAGGGAGAGACUUAUGGGCUGUGCAGAUCAGAGGAUCCCUCUGCCAAGUGAUAUUAUUGCCAGAUUGUUCCUGGACUCCUCACCUGUGCCAGGACCUCACUCUCUCCAGAAUCCUGCCUCACCCCUUUCCCCUUGGGUCCAGUUCCCUCUGCCAGUUUGGAAGUGGUUGAUAUUCAUCUCCACUCCAGAGAGGCUGCCUGAAUACUGCAUAAAACUUGAUGGUUUCCGAGAGAAGCAUGAACUGUGAGCAGGAUCAAUCCCUCACCCCAAAGAUUUGAAGCAAAGUGGUGCAACCUGACUGCAAAAGGUGUUCUGGUGGCCUGGGCAUAGGCAUCAAGCCAGCCCUGGGCAGGGAAGCUGCUGGUAACCCCAAUAGAAGGUGUCUUGCCCUUCCUAGGUGUCUUUCUAAAGACAGGGACUUGGUGCAGGGGCUCAAACAACCCUACACACAGAGCUGGAGCGAGAAGCCACAGUGGCCCGGGGCCUCGCUCACCCCAUCGCCUUCCAUUUCACCCUCUCCUCGAGGCGCUCGGGCGCUAUCAGGAGGUGAUCAGGGCGGGACUGAGCUCCCCAGGCCCAGGCUGGAUCCCAUUGUAGGCUUUGGGGGUUUCAGGCUGUUUUUGGAACCUCGGUCAUGUGUCCUCCCAUGUAACCUGAGCCCCCUGACACGGCAUGAGUCUGCACUCCAGCUCUGAGCCACAUCUGCUUCUCAUUUCCGCCCCAG